CAGCCGCCGCGGGAAUACGUAGGGCGCAAGCGUUGUCCGGAAUUAUUGGGCGUAAAGAGCUCGUAGGCGGUCUGUCGCGUCUGGUGUGAAAUCCCGAGGCUCAACCUCGGGCUUGCAUCGGGUACGGGCAGACUAGAGUGCGGUAGGGGAGACUGGAAUUCCUGGUGUAGCGGUGGAAUGCGCAGAUAUCAGGAGGAACACCGAUGGCGAAGGCAGGUCUCUGGGCCGCAACUGACGCUGAGGAGCGAAAGCAUGGGGAGCGAACAGGAUUAGAGACCCCAGUAGUCCCUGUCUCUUAUAC
rnacentral:rRNA from 1 species